rnacentral:lncRNA from 1 species
UAUGGGAGUAAUGAAAGGGAGGUGAUUGGCAUGCAUUAUAGUCCAUGUAAUACACAAGAAGAGUAGUCGACCUAGCUAUUAUCUUGAUUAGCUCAUUAGAUUGCCAUCUCUCCAACUAUCUCUCAGUUUUGCUGGCCCAAGCCCUUAUUGGUUGAGGAGAACUGAUUCAAAUCAAAGUCAUUGAUGUUUAAGUAGAAUCCAGGGAUG